CUCAUAUAACUUACAGCUCUUGGCUGAUCAGAUGUUGCUGGACCAAGGGAGUCAAGGCUUUCUUCUAACCUCAUCAGAAGAAGCAUAAUGGCAAACCUAAAUUGGACUGGGUUUCAAUCCAAGUACCUGGAAAGCUGAGUUGCCUGGAAGUGAGUAGAUUCCAUUUUCAUGAAAGAAAGCUCAGAGUCAGAAACCCAAUUGUGUUAUGGAAAAUAAAAUUAUAUUGUAGACAUUUGAGCUUAUGCCAUGUGAAACAUGUACUCACUGCAUAUAUUUUUUGUGAUUUUCAAAUUUUUAGUAAUGACCAUAUUUUGCAUUUUAAAAGAAAAGCAGAGCAUCUGCAAAAAGUUUCUCAUGAGUCAAGGCCCUGGAGGCAAU
ensembl:lncRNA